CUGGGAGUUCUAAUAAGUGGUACAGUCUGAGGGAACAUUUUUGUACAACAUUCAAUACUUUUCUUAAGAGGAGUUGCUAUCACGGGGAUCAAUCCCCAUUUUCAACCGAGAAGCUGUGAGUUCGAGUUUUCCUAAGAGCAAGGUGAGAAGUUCUUGGAGGGAAGGAUGCCGGGGUCUAUUUGGAAACAGCGUCUCUACUCUAGGGCAGGGGUAAGGUCUGCGUACAUACUAUCCUCCUCAGAUCCCACUAACUGAAAUUAUACUGAGUUGUUGCAUUCAAUACCUUUUUCUGUCUUUUUAUACUACUUCGACCUAGUUCUAUGUAUAGUUGCUCGGAAUUUAAUGUUGAUUUUAAUUUUUUGGUGAAUUCGAACAUUUAUAUUUAAAUUUUUCAAAAAUAAAAUUUCAGUAUUAGAAAAUUAGUUUAAACUUUAAAGUGCUAUAAAAUCAUAAGUAUUUCUUUGUAGAGAUGUUGUUCAGUAAGCCUGGGACUAAAUGUCCAAGCUGUUGACUUUGGUUUUUCUUUGAUGGUUGUAAAUAUUGUUUCGUGGAAAUAUAAAUAGAUAGUUAUAAAAAAAAAAAUCUUGUAUGUAAAAUGUAGAAGUGUGUAACUUAAAAAAUUAUUUGACUGUUCAAAUAAUGUAGUAUUAAUUUUUUACUUGUUAGAAUACCCUAAUUGUUGAUUUUGAGCCAAAAUUUUAAAAUUUGGGAAUUAUAUAUAUAUUUUCCCAAAAUAAAGUUGGGAAAUAUAUUUUGAAAAGGUAUGUCCAAACAUAUUUUAUCUUCAAAUCAAACUUUAACUAAUCAGUUUUUUCAAAACAAAUUUGGGAAUUUAUGGCCAAACACAAGCUAAAUUCAAUAGCUACACACAACGACAAAGGCACACUUAGGUUAAGGUAGUUGACCACCUUUUGCCGGAAAACUAUAUUGCUUAUUAUAUAGGUAAAAUAUGAUAUUUUAGUGGUAUAUAAUAUUUAUUAAAUAUUUUUUAUAUUUUUUUAUUUAUUUCAAACAAAAUUUUAGCUUCGCCACUAGUUACGCAGAUCUGAUGCGCCAAUAUUUGAUGUUGAUUCUCCUUUGAAAGUGUUAGGAUAAAGUUGUAACUUUAUUUUUAGAAUAAUUAAGAAGUUCAAGUAGAUUUUGAUUCUGAGUGGGUAAUUUUGGUAUAUUUGGUGGAGGUAAUACCUUUCUAGUUUUUAGUACCAUAUACCUGCUUUCUAAGUUCCAACAUGAUAUUUAUCUAGUCACCAAGAAUUUAUUCUCUAGAUAUGCUUUGCAUAGGUCAUAAGUAGUAGCAUUAUAUUUAAAAAUUCCAUUACUAUUCUUCGUUGAGUUUUGCAUUAAUCAGUAUACAAAUGUUAACUAAUAAUUACUCAGUGAUCUAAUUUUACUUCAAUCAUAAAUCAAGUUAAACCAAACUGUGAUAAAUAAUACUCAAUUUUCUUUUGUUGCCAAACUCGACUUCGAUAGAGAUAAAUUCUUUUUAGGAAAUGCUUGUUAAUGCAUUAUCAAUAAACAUACAACAACAACAACCCAGUAUAAUCUCACUUAGUAGGGUCUGGGGAGGGUAGUGUGUACGCAGACCUUAUCCUUAUCCUUGGGUAGAGAGGCUGUUUCCAAAUAGACCCCCGGCAUCCUUCAUUCCAAGAGCUUUCCACCUUGCUCUUGGGGAGACUCGAACUCACAACGUCUCGGUUGGAAGUGGUAGUUGCUUACUAUCAGAGCAACCCUCUGGCCUAUUAUCAAUAAACAUAUACUACUUAAUUACUUUAUGCAUGUAUUUGUGAGAGGUACCAGAUGUAUUAGGCAAGAUACGUGUAAGUUGAUCCGAAUACAACUGUUACAAAAAAAAUUACAUUAUAAUUACUUUGACCUCUUUGAAAGUAAUUAAAAAUUAGUUUAACAUCUGUUAUAGGUAAUUUCUGCAAAUUAGAGUGGAAUGCUAGUCAAAGUUGGAGGUAGCAUCUCUUGUGAUGGCAAAUUAGUUUUCUGUACCAUGUAGAAUAAUUGUACUUUGUUAAGCAACUUGUAAUAUUAUCUACAGAUAUAGAAGGAGAAUAAAGAUAAUGAAUGGAAACCAACGAAAAAUUGGAAUUAAUUGUAAUACCAUCAGACAAGAGGGGUUGCUCUUAUGGUAAGCAACCCCCACUUCCAACCGAGAGGUUGCGAGUUCGAGUCUCCCUAAGCGCAAGGUGGAAAGUUCUUGGAGGGAAGGAUGCCGGGGGUCUAUUUGGAAACAGCCUCUCUACCCAAGUGUAUAGGUAAGGCCUGCGUACACACUACCCUCCCAAUUGGAAUUGAUUCUAAAAGCAAAAGGACCAGUGGUUUCAAUGUUCUCCGCAUAAACUGUUGAUUCCUUCGCGUUUUCACUGUUUCUUUGAAGAUGUCUACUUUUUCAGCUGGUUAGUUCAUCAACUAUUAAUUACUUGAGCACUUUAGCAAAUCUCAAUUAGUCCCAUUUUGCUAAAUAUGUCUUUUUUAGUACUAUGUCUCAAAAGAAUAUCAUCUUCUGUAUUUGGAAUACUGACGUGACUUGUCGAAAUUCAACUGAUAUCUAUAGUCUCAUGAAUUUAUGAACCAUAACACAUACAUGAACAAACUAACCAUACCCUUCCAGUCUUCUAGAUGGAAGAUAAACUUCUUAAAAUCACAUAGAAUUGGUGCUAAGUUUGCAAGCUUAACCUGCUGAAUCCAACUGCUUUACCGACCACUCGGCAGCAACUAUCCCUUCAGGAGAUCCAAUGAACCUCAGUAUACACCCCAAAGAUGACAUU
rnacentral:lncRNA from 1 species